UGGAAUCUGAUCAACACAUCUAUUAUAUAUUUAUACUCGAUAUAGUCUGGCAGUGCAGAGAUAGAAUUUUUAAUCCUUGACAUUCAUCAUGUGUUCCAAUAAAAAUACAUUCAUCCUUGACAUUCAUCCAACACAGUUCCAAGGGAAUGUCAGUUUCAGCAAAAGUAAGGCUCAGAGAUCACACAAGUACUUAACAACAUGAUUAUACAAUCAUCCAACGAAUUAUACAUGUCUAAUACGCUUUUCUUUGAUAAUCCUGACUCUCAAAUAGAGCUUAGCUCCUCCCAAAAUGCAACAACAGUCGCAGUGAUUACACAUUCUUUGUCCCUGGAUCAAAGCAACAGUGAGAGUGAGCUAGUGAGCUACAAGUGGAGUUAUUAUCUUAAGAAAUUUGAAAGCAUGUUCAAAUACUCAAAGCUCUUCUAAGCUCAGAAUAAUUUUAUUUGUAAGUUAUGGAUGGUAUUAUGGAUGGAGAUGACAGAGAGAGCAUCCCCCUAAAUGUACAUUCUUGUCAUUCUAGAAGAAGAAAAACCGAAGAAAAAUAAAAAUAAUUUUCUUUUCAGCACUGCUUGAAACAUUGUAUACCUAAACAAAUCAGUGCACAAGUCACUCAUCAAAAUGAUAAUGUGGACAUUUAUUCAAUAAAAUUUGAAUUGACCCAUUUUCCACUAAUUUCUAAUUGAAGCUGCUCUACCAAAGACACCAAAACUGCUUUUAUCAGGGAUGUUCUACUUUCAAGUUUUCUUAAUCAGCUUCAAGUACACAUAAAUUUUAUUUGGUCUCUCCAACAUAGGUUUCAACUAGAUGGAAAAAGAGAAAAUAAUAAGCUAUUAAUAAGCGGACCUGUCAGAGUAUAAAAUUCUUCCAAGAUGGGACUAUGCAGCUAUAAAUAAGUCUUACGAAAGGAUAUCACGAGUGACGGUGCCAUAAUAUUAGGAACUAACUUCGCAGAACCAUCAGAAAUUUCAAGUUCAGCUAAUGAUUCAUGAUUUCAUGACAUGUUUGGAGCCAUCUUCUUGAGAUCAUUCUUCGAAGGUCUUCCAAUUAAAGCUAUCAGCUUAGAUUGCCCGACAUAUUCCCAAGGAAAUCAUUCAGACGAAAAGGAACAGCAAAUCUUAUGACAACGAAGCACAACAUGGUGCCAGGAGACUCGUGCCCUUACUCUUUAAAGGAUAGCUUGUUCAUGAACUUCAGAUUUUCAAACUUUACAUUCAGAUGGGAUUCUACCAUCUUGUAGUUAGAUUUUUCUCUGAGGAACCUAACAUACCAAUUUGGACAGGAAGAAUGAGAUCCAUAACAAUGAUUUGCUCUAGAGCAAGAUUGUGUUUCAAAACACCACAAAGAUCCUAUAAACCAUAGUUCCUCUAUGGUAGAGUUUAUGACUCCCACACUAUAGAAACCACAAAAGUUUUGCUUAUCCAAAUAUCUUACUCGUUAACAAUGUAUCAUUAGAAUUAAUCAGACAAAAGAACAAAAAUAACUUAUUAACACAUCAAAAGACAGAAGGCAAUUAAUGCGUACCAAUGAGGGUAUGAACCACAAGAUAUAAUGUACACUGUAAAUUCAGACAGCAUGUAAACUAUCUCUUUCUUUUUCCAGAAGUAGUUUUGUGGGCAUCGUUAACCAUUCCAAAUGCUGAUUUCAGUGAAAUGAGGCUACCCACAAGUGGAUGCGCUUCAAGAUUAUACCUAAACUUUUUGUCAGCCCAUUCUAAUUGUAGAUUUCUAGACUUUCCGCUUGUAGGAUUAUAACCAAAUAGUAACUUGUUGUCCAAAAGUAGUAAAAUUUCACCAUUCUUGCGAAUUUUUAUAAGCUUCGCGCCAACAUAAAUCCUACGACCAUCAGAUAUUGUGUUUGUGUUGAUCGAAAACUGCUUGACCCAAGAAUCCUUGACAUUGUACUUUUUCAUCACCCAUAUAUCAAUAUAUGAAUUACCAGAGGAAUCCACAACAGAAAGAUUAUCUUCAAACAACCCAAGAGUGUAGAAUUUUUGUGGCUUUUUAACGAGAUGCAGUUCUGGAGUUGUUGGAAUGUAUCCAAACUCUACUAGAGCCAAGUUAAAGGAUACAAUCAAUGGCGACGAACUUUGAUCACCUGUAAUCCAAUGAAGACAUCCAUUGACAACUGCCGAAGAAGCUAUUUCAUUUGAUCUAUGAAGUACCUCCGGGGCAAUUCCAACUUCUCUUCUCCAUGUAGUACUACCUAGUGUAUGCACUUGAACUUCAUUCUUAAAAAUCUGAGCUUCGACAUCAACCCCAACAAACAAAACAAGCACCAAUUUAAAUUCCUUGUUCGAAUUAUCAAACCCAAACCCAGAUAACCAUUUAUCGGUUAAUAAAUUAUGGCUAACGUAAUUCGGGUAUUCAAUUGGAGAACAGAGUUCAGGAAUAGGAAAUGAUGGAAGCUUAGAGCAUUCUUCAGUAAUGGGGUUAUAUAUAUAAAUAGGGUGGGAUGGCAAAUUGAAAACCAUAACAUAUUGAAUACUACAAAUGGGGUUAAGCAAGCAAACAAAACCAUUGCAAGAACCUAAGAUAAAAGGAUAAUCAUUAUCAAACUUUUCAGUAAUGAAAUCUUCAUUUAAUUCAAUGUAGGGUUUAAGGGGUCUUUUGUUUAGUGCUUCAUUGUCUUCAAUAUAGUAUAUUCUUGAGCCAAACAACCUACUACGAGCUUUGAAAUGGAGAAGAAGAUCAGGAGAGAUAGUGGAGAGUUGAGUAAAUUGGAUUUUAGGGAAACUGGGAUCAGAUAAAAUUCUACACCAUAGUUUAGAAACACACCUGCAUUGACAGCUCUGUUUCCAAUGUAUCCUUGCAAGGAUAUUGGUCGUCAUGAUAUCUUCUGGCAAUCUAUCCAUUUGUUUAAAUCUCUUGUUGGAGAGCAGAUUUGAACAACAACAAGGAAGAUGAGGAACAACUGUGGUAGUGAGUACUGAGUAGUGAGUAGUGACUACUGACUAGUGAGUGAGAGUGAGAGUGAGGUUUUCGAAUUGUUAAAGAUCUUCAGUAAUGGGGUUUAGGCCUGCAAAAAUGGCC
rnacentral:lncRNA from 1 species